rnacentral:rRNA from 1 species
AGUGAACGCUGGCGGCGUGCUUAACACAUGCAAGUCGAACGAGAACGGAUUAUAGCUUGCUAUAAUUGUCAGCUAAGUGGCGCACGGGUGAGUAAUGUAUAGGUAAUAUGCCUCUUACUAAGGGAUAACAAAUGGAAACGUUUGCUAAUACCUUAUACUCCUUAUUAACAGAAGUUAAUAAGGGAAAGACUUAUUGGUAAGAGAUUAGCCUGUAUUGUAUCAGUUAGUUGGUGGGGUAAUGGCUUACCAAGACUAUGACACAUAACUGGUUUGAGAGGAUGAUCAGUCACACUGGAACUGCGACACGGUCCAGACUCCUACGGGAGGCAGCAGUGGGGAAUAUUGCACAAUGGACGAAAGUCUGAUGCAGCAACGCCGCGUGGAGGAUGACACAUUUCGGUGCGUAAACUCCUUUUAUAUGAGAAGAUAAUGACGGUAUUAUAUGAAUAAGCACCGGCUAACUCCGUGCCAGCCGCCGCAGUAA